rnacentral:rRNA from 1 species
CUACCAUGGCUUUCACGGGUAACGGAGGAUUAGGGUUCGAUUCCGGAGAGGGAGCCUGAGAAACGGCUACCACUUCCACGGAAGGCAGCAGGCGCGUAAAUUACCCAAUCCUGAUUCAGGGAGGUAGUGACAAGAAAUAAUGGGUCGGGGCUAUGCCCUGAGACUGCAAUGAGACGAAUUUAGACCCCUUAUCGAGGACCAAUUGGAGGGCAAGUCUGGUGCCAGCAGCCGCGGUAAUUCCAGCUCCAAUAGCGUAUAUUAAAGUUGUUGCAGUUAAAAAGCUCGUAGUUGGAUUUCUGGUUGAAGUCGAUAGCGCACUUGUGUGAGGCUUGAGACUUUUGCCAUCCUUCUGUUAACCUUCUCGACAUUGAUUUGUCGGUUUGGGGCUCAGAUAUUUUACCUUGAGAAAAUUAGAGUGUUUCAGGCAGGCUUGUGCCCGGAUACAUUAGCAUGGAAUAAUAGAAUAGGACUUUAGCCUCUUCUGUUGGUCUGAGGGGUUGGAGUAAUGAUUAAUAGGGAUAGUUGGGGGCAUUAGUACUUAACUGUCAGAGGUGAAAUUCUCGGAUUUGUUAAAGACUAACUUAUGCGAAAGCAUUUGCCAAGGAUGUUUUCAUUAAUCAA